GGCGGUCCCGCCUUCUGACGUCGACCAUUGGCCGGCUUUGCCAGCGCGCUCCUGAUUGGUGGCUGUGGGCCGGGCUCCGCUGUUUCUCAAAGUUGGUGAUACAGCGGCGGCGCGGCGGAAUGGCAGCGGCUGCGGACUGGUUCUUAGGCGGGCCCACGGCGGUGCGGCUGCAGAGGUCGCCGCUACUCAAGGUGCUGGCGGAGCAGCUGUGGCACGACGCGGAGGGCGGCCGGACGUGUGGCGGCUGUCGUGGGCGACGGCGGGCCGCGGGCUGCUGGAGCUGGCGGCCGUGUGGAUGCAGGGCACGGUGGUGAUGGCUGGCCGCAGCGAGGCGCGGCUGCGGGACCCGAGCGGGGCCUUCUCGGUCCCCGGCCUGGAGCGGGUGCGGCGCAGGCGGCCCUGCCUCCUCCCAGGAAAGUAUGUGAUGGUGAUGGGAGUGGUGCACGCCUGCAGGCUGUGAAGAUGACAGACCUUUCUGAUAAUCCCAUCCGUGUAAGUAUGUGGGAACUGGAAGUGGAAGAUCUACACCGGAAUAUUCCUUAGAUGAUGUUGGAACUGUCGUUAAAAACAACCAAAAUCCAACGAUUUACAAGCUUAUAAUGAUGUGGAUUUCAUGGACAUUUUUCAAUGCUUAUUUUUCAAAAGUUUCUGAGAGCCUUGCUUUGGUUGACCAAGGAGUCUGGAUGUAGGAAUGUUUAAAUCCUGGGAUACUUGCUUUGCCUGUGUUUGCUGAUGAGAAGCAGAUGCUUUUGUCUUCCUGGUGUGUGUGUGUGUGUGUGUGUGUGUGUGUGUGUGUGUGUGUGUGUGUUAAUUCUCUCUCUCAGACACAGAAGUCUCAUGUUACAUUUUCCAAAUUUUUUGUGUGAUGAUACUUUUUCCAUUACUGCUGCAUCCCUGUUUUACAAUGCAAAAUUUAUCUCAGUCAUUGCCCGUGGUGUUUGAACUGUAGUUAUGGGCAGGAAGACAGACUGUGUAAAAAAGGAAUGACAUCAUGGCUCCUCAUCUUCUUCAUCAGCAACUACCAUAACCAGUUUGCAAGUCAAAUGGCAUUUCAUAACAGCAGGCGUGGCGGCCCCCAAAAGAAAAUAGCUCCUUUUCUGCUUCGGACACCACUCAAAUAUUUAGACACUGCUCUAUGCAUUUUCCUCUGCUAGAGAAGGUGAUGCCUUCUUCCAUCACUCACAGAUGUUGAGAUGUUUUCAGAAUUUCUUGUUGAAAUGAAAAACAUCAAGAUUAAGGAUGCUUUUCAGGCCUUAGCUGAACUUCCGCUUCAUUACUUUGGGAAAGACAUGGCGAGUUUCCUAGUUUAGAGUUCUUUUGUCUUUUUGUAUGGAAUGACUUUGCUGUGAUUUGAAUAUUGGGUUUCUGCUGUCUGCUUAAUACCCAUGCCUGAUUUUUGGAAAUUGUACAUAUCAAGGGAGUUAGGUUAUGCUCUGACAUGGUUGUAGACUUUCACCAGGAUUAUUGAUAUUCUACCUCUAAUAAAUUAAUAUGCU